GGACUCUUUUCUGCUUUGGACCUCCUUGGAUAAGAACUCUUUCUGCUUUGUUUAAAGAAAGGAGUUUUGGAAGACAUGGAAUCUCGAAAAAAUAGCAAAAAGGAUCGCCGCAUUGUUCACUGCCUUCUGUGCCAGAAGCCUCAGGACAGCUUGCCCACCCACCUUCUCAGAACCUGCAUGAAAAAUGCUUCUCCUGAAGAAAGACAGGCAGAGGUGAAGAGAGCCAAAGAAAGUAUGAGAACCUGGACUCGCUACCAGCGCAACUGGGACUACAUGGACUUGUGCAGCAUUUUCCCUGACCAGGUCACCAGAUGGAACAUGGUCCGAAACCUGAGGGAAAGGGGCUUCUUUGUGUCUGGUGCGCCCUCUGACCAGGAUAUCGAGGAGGCAGCGGCCAGGCGGGAGAGGGCGGCUGCAACGGCCAUCAGGACAACGCGGGCCACUGUUUCUAGUACCACUCCUACUAUGGAAGCGGUGCCUGCAGUAGGCAAAAGCACUGGGGCUUCAGAAUCAUCUGAAUCCGAUGGUGGUGACGCUGGGGAUUCAACAAGUCCUUUGAUGACAAACAAGGAGAGGGAGUUGUGGCACCAAGCAUUUUGCAAAGGGCUCGAUUAUAUGUGACUGCCACAGAGAACUGAUCUGUGGUGAGGAAGGUGACGCCAUCCUAAAGGCCACACCACAAGAUACCAUGGGAUAUUUGAAUCGUUCGAGGAAGAACCCCAACGCUAAACCUCUCCACUGCAAAAUACAGUUUAGCAGUGGAGUGAAGGACACCUUGUUGCUCGUGGCAGCAAAAUACAUUGCUGUGGGUGAUGAACUCAAAUGUGAUUAUGGGGUGAAUAGGAAGUCCUUUCGUGGGGAAGGACUUGACCUUGAGUGGCUAGAUGAAUAAUUUGAACAAUCAUCUCUUCCUGGUCUGCUGUCAGAUUUAAGGAUUAUAGCAGACACUGCUUGCCUUAAGGUUUUUUGUAGAAAGAAAUAAUUCUAUAUUUUUAAUGUCAAAUUUUUAAAAUGACAAUGUAGAACAUGCUACUCUGUCACAGCUUGGAAGUUUUUAAUGAUUAUUUUUAUAUUUUGUGUCAAACAAGAUUUUUAAAGUUGUUUUACUUUGACACAAUAUGUAACUGAUGGUAAAUACUGUUGUGAACAUGUAUACUCUGUAAAUAAUAAAAAAAAAAAUUCUUCUUUUACAGAAGCUUUCUUGUCCUAAUAUCAAUCUAAAAUCGUUUCCCUACAUCAUACUGAUCCUGUCCCUGGUCACACUGGCUGUUUACACGUCUGUCUCCGAAAUCCAGGUAACAAAGCACCUCAAACAGUGCGCGCAAACCCCGCCCACAUCUGACCUGGAAACUUUUGCUUAUAGCGUGGACGUAACUUUGGCUAGCUAGCAAAGUUAGCUAACUAAUUCUCCUCCGGCGCCACAGAAUUAUUCUUUUUAAACCUACUUAACUCUCCAUUAAUGGUGUUUACGACUCAACCCGCACACCUGCCGUUACAGCCUGUUCAAUCUCCACUAACGUGAGGGAGUCAGAGCUGACGGCCAUGAUGGCUUCGACUUCAGGUUUCUCUCCAGUAUUGUCGUCCACCAAUCCAGAGUCAGAUGUGGGCUGAGCUAUGCAUACUGUUUAAGGUGUUUGAGUCCGCGUCACUGAUCUAGGAUCAUAGGGGGUGAAGUCUACUUAUUGAGUUUGAUCAUUUACAUUUAACAUUUACAUAUGGAUUUAACAUUUAGAUUUUUUUCUCCUGUUGCUUUUGGGGUGGGGGUGCAACCAGCUGCUGGAACCAAGGAAAUCUUUAAAACUGGGUGGUGAUCUCUCCACCAGGGCCAGUGGGCGAGGCCACAAAUGGCCUCACCCCCAGGCCCUAGUGAAAGAGCCCACCCCCGGCCCUAAAUCCACUGUGAAGGGGCAGGUUCCACCGCCCUGUCCCAUCACCUGCCUGGCUGCUGACAGUCUACGGCUACGACGUUCUAACACGCCUGGAGGAGUACAAGGCCAGGAUCACGUCCACCUUUGGAUCCAUCCUGAAAAUGGCUUCAACCAGGAAGGUUUUUAUCGCAUUAAACUGAUUCUGUGUCCACACACUUCUACCACAACAAAUAUAUCUCUUUCCAGGUGACAAGGAAGCUCGCCGGUACAGCCUGUGACUGACACCGUGCAACCAACGUAGAGAAGGAGUAUUGGCAGGUCCUUAUGAGGGUCCUUACUUGUUCUGGGGGCCUGUCCAUGAUGGCAGCAGCUGGACUGAUGAGACGGUACCAACUCGCCAGGGAACGUCCCCUAGGCUCACCCGUGUGGACAGGACUGCUGCCUGCAAUAGUUAGGUGUAACGACACAGAGCCGUGAGCUGUACCCAACCUUUAUUAGGCAGCUGUCACACGGCAUCUUCACAAAACAACAAAGGAGUGGCAACUCCACUGUUGGAGUGGAGGAGUCAGCAAUCCUGAUCCAGAACCUCCUGGACUCCUUUGGUGGACCUGCAGGACACAACUCUAUGAACAUCCCCUUGUUGAACGCAGCCAGCAUGGAAAGCAUAUGAACUACGCAGAUGUGCCACCUCAGCUGCAUCCAGGACCCGCCAUGUGUGCAGCUGCAGCUACUGUAUUAAUACUUAUUAUAACAAGAGGUGGUGUAAUUAGUUACUACUGAUCAAGUGACGAUAGAGAACUGAUAAAAUACUAAGCUGAAGCAAAUAAAUGAGACAGGUUUUGUUCAUUGGUCUGAAAGCCUGCCCUGUAAAUGCUUUUCUUCAUAAGUUUAUGUUUAAGUUUAUUUAACUUUUCACAACUGGAUCUCCUUAAAGUUGGACAAUAUUCCCCUUUUCUCUUAUUUGAACGUUAUUUUAAUCUCAGAUACUGUUACCGUGAUUUUACUUCUGUGCAAAUGUCUUUCUUUGUUUCUAAUUUAUUUUACGAAUGACUUUAAAUUCUUGAAAGUCUUUGUUAAAACUUUACUUUUCCGAUUAAACUUAAAACAGGGUUAAAAUGAGACUAUAGUACUACCCUCUAAAGCUGCUAACCUUAAACACUGGCUGCUGCCACCUUUGAACUUUUUCUAUAUGCACAUGGUCAAGUGUGUAAUACGGUAAUAAUAAUGACGGACUCAUGGGAAUCGCUCACUACUUAAGAAACAGUUCAGCAUCAGUUCCUACUCAUGUUGUCUGUAUUUCAAAAUAACUUGAGUCUUGAGUAAAAUUAAUAUUGUAUCCGUAUAUUCACGAUUAUGAUGAAUUAUUUGGUGAGUUUUAGCCCUGGGUCCAGUUCUCUUGUCAUUUGUCUGGUAUAAAUCCUCCAAUGGCCUAAUAAAUUGAUGUUUGUUCUCAA